rnacentral:rRNA from 1 species
AUUGAACGCUGGCGGCAGGCCUAACACAUGCAAGUCGAGCGAGCGGCGGACGGGUGAGUAAUGUAUGGGGACUGCCCGAUAGAGGGGGAUAACUACUGGAAACGGUGGCUAAUACCGCAUACUAUCGGAUAACCCAUAUGGGAUUAGCUAGUAGGUGGGGUAAAGGCUCACCUAGGCGACGAUCUCUAGCUGGUCUGAGAGGAUGAUAAGCCACACGGGGACGAAGACAGGGCCCAGACGCCUACGGAGGAAGCAGGGGGGAAUAUUGCACAAGGGCGGCAAGCUGGAGGCAGCAAGGCGGGGUGUAUGAAGAGGGCCUUAGGGUUGUAAAGUAUUUUCAGCGGGGAGGCGUACCCGCAGAAGAAGCACCGGCUAACUCCGUGCCAGCAGCCGCGGUAAUAC